AGAAAGUCAGUGUCCAGUCUGGACUAAAAAGCUUCUCUUUGGUGUUUUCAGCCUUAUGUUGGAAAUAGAAAAAGCUGAUUUGUUAACUGUAGCUAUGGUUCUGCAAUGCCAGUGCAGAGGGAUCCCCAUCCAUCUGCUUGAUUAGAGGACGUCUCCUUCUCAACUUUAGGAUUAUUACUAAAGGAAACGCUUGUGCAUUUACAGUAUUUGGUGAUUAUAGCAGAGCAGAAAUAAGCCGCUGUGAGUGCCGGAUGCAGGUGAUCCUGGAGGUCUGCCUCCGCUGUGUUUAACCGGCUGGAAAGGAAACCCAAGCUGACAGGCUAAAGAAAGCCCCAUUUAUUUACUGAGGCACUGCGGUGCCUCCCAGCACUGUUGGACCACGAAAGCCCCAAGAGGGAGAAAUGUCUGCGCCCACCUCAACGAGGAGAUGAUCGCAAAUCCUUUCAGAUCGGACAUUUAAAGACGAAUCUCAACCAGAACUGAAAUGAAUCUGAAGCUUUCUGUCUGACACCGAAUACGGCAACUAAGAGGAAUAAAAUCCUACCACCCUGCUGUCUGCCGCCCCGGCUCUGCUGGCUCCUUAUAAACUGACGUCAGGACGCCGGGAGGAUCCGCUCGGAAAUAACCGGUGAGCAAACGCUGAAGCCCGCCUGACGUUUCAGUGGAGCCGCGGACUCACGCUGACAGCAGGGAGCCCGAAUCAGAGCUGCGGAUGUGCUGCGAGCCGGAGGGACGUGGAAAGCCCGACAAGACAAUGACAAACUCUGACAAUCAAGACGAAGGGGAGAAUCAGGACGCAGAUCUUUUGGUUUAUUGAAAACAAUUCAAGGCUUUUCGUGAUCUGACUUUAUAAAGUUCAGUUCUGUGCGUGAA